UAGGGAAUCUUCGGCAAUGGACGAAAGUCUGACCGAGCAACGCCGCGUGAGUGAAGAAGGUUUUCGGAUCGUAAAACUCUGUUGUUAGAGAAGAACAAGGACGUUAGUAACUGAACGUCCCCUGACGGUAUCUAACCAGAAAGCCACGGCUAACUACGUGCCAGCAGCCGCGGUAAUACGUAGGUGGCAAGCGUUGUCCGGAUUUAUUGGGCGUAAAGCGAGCGCAGGCGGUUUCUUAAGUCUGAUGUGAAAGCCCCCGGCUCAACAGGGGAGGGUCAUUGGAAACUGGGAGACUUGAGUGCAGAAGAGGAGAGUGGAAUUCCAUGUGUAGCGGUGAAAGGCGUAGAUAUAUGGAGGAAAAACAGUGGCGAAGGCGGCUCUCUGGUCUGUAACUGACGCUGAGGCUCGAAAGCGUGGGGAGCAAACAGG
rnacentral:rRNA from 1 species